rnacentral:pre_miRNA from 1 species
GUAGUAUUCCCUCCGUCCCAAAAUUCUUGUCUUACAUUUGUUUAGAUACGGAUGUAUCUAACACUAAAAUGUAACUAGAUACAUCUGUAUUCAGACAAAUUUAAGACAAGAAUUUUGGGACAGAGGGAGUACAAA